rnacentral:rRNA from 1 species
UUUGGGAGGUUGUGCCCUUGAGGCGUGGCUUCCGGAGCUAACGCGUUAAAUCGACCGCCUGGGGAGUACGGCCGCAAGGUUAAAACUCAAAUGAAUUGACGGGGGCCCGCACAAGCGGUGGAGCAUGUGGUUUAAUUCGAUGCAACGCGAAGAACCUUACCUACUCUUGACAUCCAGAGAACUUUCCAGAGAUGGUUUGGUGCCUUCGGGAACUCUGAGACAGGUGCUGCAUGGCUGUCGUCAGCUCGUGUUGUGAAAUGUUGGGUUAAGUCCCGCAACGAGCGCAACCCUUAUCCUUUGUUGCCAGCGGUUCGGCCGGGAACUCAAAGGAGACUGCCAGUGAUAAACUGGAGGAAGGUGGGGAUGACGUCAAGUCAUCAUGGCCCUUACGAGUAGGGCUACACACGUGCUACAAUGGCGUAUACAAAGAGAAGCGACCUCGCGAGAGCAAGCGGACCUCAUAAAGUACGUCGUAGUCCGGAUUGGAGUCUGCAACUCGACUCCAUGAAGUCGGAAUCGCUAGUAAUCGUAGAUCAGAAUGCUACGGUGAAUACGUUCCCGGGCCUUGUACACACCGCCCGUCACACCAUGGGAGUGGGUUGCAAAAGAAGUAGGUAGCUUAACCUUCGGGAGGGCGCUUACCACUUUGUGAUUCAUGACUGGGGUGAAGUCGA